AUGCUAAUGGUUAAUGUGCAUGCUCAACCAGAAAUCAGAAUUGCCUCUGGAUUUCUGAUGGCGGUGGUGCACAUCCCGCGCCAGUUCAAGGUGUCGGACUGGUUCCUGAACAGGAAGGACUACAAGGACGGGAGGUUCUCCCAGGUCUUCUCCAACGCCGUCGACAUGAAGCUCAGGGAUGACCUUGAGAGGCUCAAGAAGAUCAGGGAGCUGGAGCUGGGCCAAGGGAGCAAGCAGCGCUGCUGGUUACUUGGGGCCAGAUCGAGUAAGAUGGCGCACCAUGGCGUGUGGCGGCCUAUUUUGCUUCCAAGAGCAGUACUGUUUAUUUGA
rnacentral:rRNA from 1 species